rnacentral:rRNA from 1 species
UACGAGGGGGGCGAGCGUUGUUCGGAAUUAUUGGGCGUAAAGGGUGCGUAGGCGGUUUGGUAAGUCUCGUGUGAAAUCUCCGGGCUCAACUCGGAGCCUGCACGAGAAACUGCCGGGCUUGAGUGUGGGAGAGGUGAGUGGAAUUCCUGGUGUAGCGGUGAAAUGCGUAGAUAUCAGGAGGAACACCUGUGGCGAAAGCGGCUCACUGGACCAUAGCUGACGCUGAUGCACGAAAGCUAGGGGAGCAAACAGG